GACUAACGCUGGCGGCGUGCCUAACACAUGCAAGUCGAACGAGGUAGCAAUACCUAGUGGCAGACGGGUGAGUAACACGUGGUCAACCUUCCCUAGAGUGGGGGAUAACUAGCCGAAAGGUUAGCUAAUACCGCAUACGAUCGUCGAGGGGCAUCCCAUGACGAUGAAAGGAGCAAUUCGCUCUAGGACGGGACCGCGUCCCAUUAGCUAGUUGGUGGGGUAAUGGCCUACCAAGGCUCCGAUGGGUAGCUGGUUUGAGAGAAUGACCAGCCACACU
rnacentral:rRNA from 1 species